rnacentral:rRNA from 1 species
ACGGCCAGGACUACAGGGGUAUCUAAUCCCUUUCGCUCCCCUGGCUUUCGUCCAUGAGCGUCAGUAAUGGCCCAGCAGAGCGCCUUCGCCACUGGUGUUCUUCCCGAUAUCUACGCAUUUCACCGCUACACCGGGAAUUCCCUCUGCCCCUACCAUACUCAAGCCUUUCAGUUUCCACUGCCAUGAUGGAGUUAAGCUCCACGCUUUAACAGCAGACUUGAAAAGCCGCCUGCGGACGCUUUACGCCCAAUAAUUCCGGAUAACGCUUGCCACUCCCGUAUUACCGCGGCUGCUGGCACGGAAUUAGCCGUGGCCUAUUCCUCAAGUACCGUCAUAUCUUCUUCCUUGAGAAAAGAGGUUUACAGCCCAGAGGCCUUCGUCCCUCACGCGGCGUUGCUCCGUCAGGCUUUCGCCCAUUGCG